rnacentral:lncRNA from 1 species
CGAAACACAAUCAUAGGAUGAAAGAAAGCAAAAAACCCAGCUGGCACCUGCUGGGAGGGCGGGGAGAGAGAAUCUGGCAGACAGGAGGUUCCUACAGAGAUUGCCAACACUACUACACGUCUGAUUUGCUUUUUUGGGCAGCAUGUUGAAUCCAAAGGUGAUAAACAUUUGGCUUGGCUGGCCAGACAAGAUGCGCCCGCAUCAGACACGGCGCUCGCUCUCCUCUCUCUCACUGGCGUCUCUGCGCCUCUCAAGGCAGCUCCUUCUGCUGUGCUUCACAUCUCCAGCCCUCGAGUUUCAGGGAGGAUUGAGGCUCUGCUGGAGUGAAACACAUCAGUGGGAAUAGCUGCUCCCUUGCAAAGAGCUGGCUGGCUGGCUGGGCUGCUCGCUACCAGACAUCUGGACAGCCAAUUCCACUUUUCAGUUUGCAGCACAACACAGGGAUUGUUGUUAGAGGAUAUCUUUGAACCUCAGGAAACUUAGCUAUCUUUAGCAUUUUUAGGACAACAGCUUUAUUUACAACUCAGUGCCACGGAAAGACAAAUGUUUAACCAAACUGGGAAUGACUUUGUUCUCCAAAUACUUUCAGUGAGGAGGGGUGACUAUGAAGUGAGAAAAAAAAGAAAAACCUCACUGUUGUCUGAGCAACAAGAGAGGUUAGUAAAGAUUCUUGACUACCCUUUCCCUAGCUCUGAAGUCAUGAAGAAAGUGCUACAGCCCAGCUGUGUAGCAUUUUGUGUUCUUUUUGCACCACCUUCUUUCUAUAAACACCCAGUGGUUUCGCUGUGCCAUGGAACAUGCAGGGAACGGUGCUUGCCUGCCCUGGAAACCACACAAGGAAGACAUGCAGACCUUCGUGGAACCUCCAUCAAUUAG